UCCCAUUACAGUUAAUAGUGCUCAUGUGUAAUAAAAUGCUUUGAAUUAACGCCGUGUAUAUAAUAUAUAGCUAGCUCUAUGGUGGCCAAUGUGCAAGUCUUGAUAGUGCAUGGUGUUGCUCGUUGUUUUUCGACAACGUAUAGCGCUUUAAUCAAAAUCUGCCACUAUUAAAACAUAGAUAGAAGAAGGAAAGGGAUUGGAAAUGCAUCACAUGAUGCUCUAUCAAUUGUACGUGUGACGUCAUAACAUGAUUUUAGAGGCUAGUUGCGCUUGUUCAGCUACUGGAAAGCUGGUAACUCGCUCACUGUCUGAACAGUUGAUCGUUUUAUGAGAAACUCCAGCAAUGUAUUGGGUAGUCAACACCCACAGGGCUAUGCAGAGCCAUAGUAGACUAUCUACAGACUUCUAGCUACUGAGUUACAAGGAGUUUUCUCUUGGAUUUCUGCUAUAUUGACAUGGGGAACCUGAAGAGGGAAUAUGGAAUGCUAGACAAAGAUAGAAGUGGUCCUUUCAAGUCAAGCCAAGGAGAACUUGUGAUAAAUUGAGCAUUUCUGUAGUAGAUAUAGCUAUAUCCAGAUCAAUCUUUACCAACAUACAUGUGCUAAGUACGUAGUAUAAGCAUUGUUCAAUGUCACACAUAAAUGAUACAAUUGUUGUAUAAU